rnacentral:rRNA from 1 species
CUCAUGGCCCUUUAUGACCAGGGCUACACACGUGCUACAAUGGUGGUACAACGAGUUGCGAGUCGGUGACGGCGAGCUAAUCUCUUAAAGCCAAUCUCAGUUCGGAUUGUAGGCUGCAACUCGCCUACAUGAAGUCGGAAUCGCUAGUAAUCGCGGAUCAGCACGCCGCGGUGAAUACGUUCCCGGGCCUU